AAUGCGGGACUCUAAGAGGCCCCGUAAUUGGAAUGAGUACACCUUAAAUCGUUUAACGAGUAUCAAUUGGAGGGCAAGUCUGGUGCCAGCAGCCGCGGUAAUUCCAGCUCCAAUAGCGUAUAUUAAAGUUGCUGCAGUUAAAAAGCUCGUAGUUGGAUCUGGGGCUUGAGGUCGCUGUCUAUCGUUUCGGCGAUGACGGUGAUGCUCAGCUCUGCUUGCCGGUGACUGUUGCGGUGUUCUUCACUGAGCGCUGUAGCAGCACGGCACGUUUACUUUGAAAAAAUUAGAGUGCUCAAAGCGUGCUUGUCGCUUGAAUAAUGUUGCAUGGAAUAAUGGAAUAGGACCUCGGUUCUAUUUUGUUGGUUUUCGGAGCUUGAGGUAAUGAUUAAGAGGGACGAACGGGGGCAUUCGUAUUGCGGUGUUAGAGGUGAAAUUCUUGGAUCGCCGCAAGACGGACUACUGCGAAAGCAUUUGCCAAGAACGCUUUCAUUAAUUAAGAGCGAAAGUCAGAGGUUCGAAGACGAUCAGACACCGUCCUAGUUCCGACCAUAAACGAUGCCGACCAGCGAUCCGUAGUGGUUGCUUUAUGGACCCUACGGGCAGCCUCCGGGAAACCAAAGUAUUUGGGUUCCGGGGGAAGUAUGGUUGCAAAGCUGAAACUUAAAGGAAUUGACGGAAGGGCACACCAGGAGUGGAGCCUGCGGCUUAAUUUGACCCAACACGGGAAAACUCACCCGGUCCGGACACCGUAAGGAUUGACAGACUGAUAGCUCUUUCUUGAUUCGGUGGAUGGUGGUGCACGGCCGUUCUUAGUUGGUGGAGUGAUUUGUCUGGUUAAUUCCGAUAACGAACGAGACUCUAGCCUGCUAAGUAGUGUUGCUAUCGUUAUAUGGUUGACACUUCUUAGAGGGACAAGUGGCAUUUAGCCACGCGAAAUUGAGCAAUAACAGGUCUGUGAUGCCCUUAGAUGUCCGGGGCCGCACGCGCGCUACACUGGAGAAGUCAGCGUGUGUUAUCCAAGUCCGAAAGGACUGGGUAAUCCGUUGAACCUUCUUCGUGCUUGGGACUGUGGCUUGGAACUAUUCCACAUGAACGAGGAAUUCCUAGUAAUUGCAAGUCAUAAGCUUGCGUUGAUUACGUCCCUGCCCUUUGUACACACCGCCCGUCGCUACUACCGAUUGAAUGGUUUAGCAAGGUCCUCGGAUCGUGGCCGUAGGGGCACGCAAGUGCUUCUGCGGUUUGCGAGAAGACGACCAAACUUGAUCAUUUAGA
rnacentral:rRNA from 1 species